rnacentral:rRNA from 1 species
UGGGGAAUAUUGGACAAUGGGCGCAAGCCUGAUCCAGCAAUGCCGCGUGAGUGAUGAAGGCCUUAGGGUUGUAAAGCUCUUUCGCACGCGACGAUGAUGACGGUAGCGUGAGAAGAAGCCCCGGCUAACUUCGUGCCAGCAGCCGCGGUAAUACGAAGGGGGCUAGCGUUGUUCGGAAUUACUGGGCGUAAAGGGCGCGUAGGCGGCCUGUUUAGUCAGAAGUGAAAGCCCCGGGCUCAACCUGGGAAUAGCUUUUGAUACUGGCAGGCUUGAGUUCCGGAGAGGAUGGUGGAAUUCCCAGUGUAGAGGUGAAAUUCGUAGAUAUUGGGAAGAACACCGGUGGCGAAGGCGGCCAUCUGGACGGACACUGACGCUGAGGCGCGAAAGCGUGGGGAGCAAACAGGAUUAGAUACCCUGGUAGUCCACGCCGUAAACGAUUAAUGCUAGACGUCGGGGUGCAUGCACUUCGGUGUCGCCGCUAACGCAUUAAGCAUUCCGCCUGGGGAGUACGGCCGCAAGGUUAAAACUCAAAUGAAUUGACGGGGUCAUAGCUGUUUCCU